AUUUACCUGUGUUAUCUAUAUACAUAUUUACAUCUAUUUGCUGUUAUUUAAUUUGCUUAAUCUUAGACAGUUUAAACAGUAAUUUGUUUCAUUUUACCCAGGAAAGGCACUUUGAAAUUGGGUAACCAUCUAUAGAGAUAGUUUUAGAUUUUCUCAUUAUAGAGAUUUCAAAGCCUUUCCUUAGCACCAUGUAUGUUUAUUUUGAACAACCCUAUGAAAUAUUAUAAAUCUCUACAUUUUUUUUAAAUGACAAGAAUCACCUAUCGGAUAACACUUUCACAUUAUUGUCAGUUUUAAAUGCAUUCAUUUCACAGAUUGUUACCUUGUGUUCACAUAUUUGUUUUUUAGUGUGUUCAAACUAUAGCCAGUAUGUAAUUAGGGCAAAUUCACAUGCUUUUCAGAAAUAUUUUUUUUUGUUUGAAUAUACAAUCAUAUGUAUUCUUAAUGAUUGUAUUGUUAUGAUUUCU
rnacentral:lncRNA from 1 species